CCUACGGGAGGCAGCAGUGGGGAAUAUUGCACAAUGGGCGCAAGCCUGAUGCAGCAACGCCGCGUGAGGGACGACGGCCUUCGGGUUGUAAACCUCUUUUAGUAGGGAAGAAGCGAAAGUGACGGUACCUGCAGAAAAAAGCACCGGCUAACUACGUGCCAGCAGCCGCGGUAAUACGUAGGGUGCAAGCGUUGUCCGGAAUUAUUGGGCGUAAAGAGCUCGUAGGCGGUUUGUCGCGUCUGCUGUGAAAACCCGAGGCUCAACCUCGGGCCUGCAGUGGGUACGGGCAGACUAGAGUGCGGUAGGGGAGAUUGGAAUUCCUGGUGUAGCGGUGGAAUGCGCAGAUAUCAGGAGGAACACCGAUGGCGAAGGCAGAUCUCUGGGCCGUAACUGACGCUGAGGAGCGAAAGCAUGGGGAGCGAACAGGAUUAGAUACCCUGGUAGUCCAUGCCGUAAACGUUGGGAACUAGAUGUAGGGACCAUUCCACGGUUUCUGUGUCGCAGCUAACGCAUUAAGUUCCCGCCUGGGGAGUACGGCCGCAAGGCUAAAACUCAAAUGAAUUGACGG
rnacentral:rRNA from 1 species